CGUCGUUCUAGACUGCAGAUGGCUGGAUCACCUCCUUCUAGACUGCAGAAAGCUGGAUCACCUCCUUCUAGACUGCGGAAAACGGGUGAGUAACCCGUGGGUAACCUGCCCAUAAGACUGGGAUAACUCCGGGAAACCGGGGCUAAUACCGGAUAACAUUUUGAACCGCAUGGUUCGAAAUUGAAAGGCGGCUUCGGCUGUCACUUAUGGAUGGACCCGCGUCGCAUUAGCUAGUUGGUGAGGUAACGGCUCACCAAGGCAACGAUGCGUAGCCGACCUGAGAGGGUGAUCGGCCACACUGGGACUGAGACACGGCCCAGACUCCUACGGGAGGCAGCAGUAGGGAAUCUUCCGCAAUGGACGAAAGUCUGACGGAGCAACGCCGCGUGAGUGAUGAAGGCUUUCGGGUCGUAAAACUCUGUUGUUAGGGAAGAACAAGUGCUAGUUGAAUAAGCUGGCACCUUGACGGUACCUAACCAGAAAGCCACGGCUAACUACGUGCCAGCAGCCGCGGUAAAUACGUAGGUGGCAAGCGUUAUCCGGAAUUAUUGGGGCGUAAAGCGCGCGCAGGUGGUUUCUUAAGUCUGAUGUGAAAGCCCACGGCUCAACCGUGGAGGGUCAUUGGAAACUGGGAGACUUGAGUGCAGAAGAGGAAAGUGGAAUUCCAUGUGUAGCGUGGAAUGCGUAGAGAUAUGGAGGAACACCAGUGCGAAGGCGACUUUCUGGGCUGUAACUGAAAUUGAGGCGCGAAGGGUGGGGAGCAAACAGGAUUAGAUACCUUGGUAGUCCACGCGUAAACAAUGAGUGUAAAGGUUAGAGGUUCCGCCUUUAAGUGUGAAGUAACGAAUAAGCAUUCGCCUGGGAGACGCCGGAGGUGAACUCAAGAAUUGACGGGCGCCAAGCGGUGAGCAUGGUUUAUCGAGCACGGGAACUUAAGUUGAAUCUUUGAAACUUAGAAGGGCCUCUCUCAGCAAGUAAGGCAUAGUUUCUCACCCUGUGUUA
rnacentral:rRNA from 1 species